GUCCCAGUAGCACAAUGCGUAGCGUGUUGGACUUCUAAUUCAAAGGUCGUGAGUUCAAAUCCCACCAGGGAUG